UAGGGAAUAUUGGACAAUGGGGGCAACCCUGAUCCAGCCAUGCCGCGUGAGUGAAGAAGGCCCUCGGGUUGUAAAGCUCUUUUGUCCGGAAAGAAAAGCUUCGGGUUAAUACCCCGGGGUUCUGACGGUACCGGAAGAAUAAGCACCGGCUAACUUCGUGCCAGCAGCCGCGGUAAUACGAAGGGUGCAAGCGUUACUCAGAAUUACUGGGCGUAAAGCGUGCGUAGGUGGUUGUUUAAGUCUGAUGUGAAAGCCCUGGGCUCAACCUGGGAAUGGCAUUGGAAACUGGGCAGCUAGAGUGCGGUAGAGGGUAGUGGAAUUCCCGGUGUAGCAGUGAAAUGCGUAGAGAUCGGGAGGAACACCUGUGGCGAAGGCGACUGCCUGGACCAGCACUGACACUGAGGCACGAAAGCGUGGGGAGCAAACA
rnacentral:rRNA from 1 species